rnacentral:rRNA from 1 species
CUACGGGAGGCAGCAGUGGGGGAAUUUUGGACAAUGGGGGGCAACCCUGAUCCAGCCAUUCCGCGUGAGUGAAGAAGGCCUCGGUUGUAAAGCUCUUUCGGUCAGGAACGAAACGGUGGGUCCGUAAUACGAUCUGCUAAUGACGGUACCUGAAGAAGAAGCACCGGCUAACUACGUGCCAGCAGCCGCGGUAAUACGUAGGGUGCGAGCGUUAAUCGGAAUUACUGGGCGUAAAGCGUGCGCAGGCGGUUAUGUAAGACAGAUGUGAAAUCCCCGGGCUUAACCUGGGAACUGCGUUUGUGACUGCAUAACUCGAGUGUGGCAGGAGGGGGGUGGAAUUCCACGUGUAGCAGUGAAAUGCGUAGAGAUGUGGAGGAACACCGAUGGCGAAGGCAGCCCCUGGGUCAACACUGACGCUCAUGCACGAAAGCGUGGGGAGCAAAACGAGGAUUAGAUACCCUGGUAGUCCACG